rnacentral:rRNA from 1 species
AGUGAACGCUGGCGGUAGGCCUAACACAUGCAAGUCGAACGGCAGCACAGUAAGAGCUUGCUCUUACGGGUGGCGAGUGGCGGACGGGUGAGGAAUACAUCGGAAUCUACUUUUUCGUGGGGGAUAACGUAGGGAAACUUACGCUAAUACCGCAUACGACCUACGGGUGAAAGCAGGGGAUCUUCGGACCUUGCGCGAUUGAAUGAGCCGAUGUCGGAUUAGCUAGUUGGCGGGGUAAAGGCCCACCAAGGCGACGAUCCGUAGCUGGUCUGAGAGGAUGAUCAGCCACACUGGAACUGAGACACGGUCCAGACUCCUACGGGAGGCAGCAGUGGGGAAUAUUGGACAAUGGGCGCAAGCCUGAUCCAGCCAUACCGCGUGGGUGAAGAAGGCCUUCGGGUUGUAAAGCCCUUUUGUUGGGAAAGAAAAGCAGCAGGUUAAUACCCCGCUGUUCUGACGGUACCCAAAGAAUGAGCGCCGGCUAACUUCGUG